ACAACGAUGACAAGAGAGGCAAGUGGCUGUGCCAUUAACCCUUUGCUGCCCCAAAGAGCCAAUUUUUGUUUAUUUUCAGAGCAGACAAUAGGCAUGGAGUAGUGGUCCCAACCUGGAUGACUAACAAGUUGGCCUUGAUGACAGCUCCUCCACUUCAGCUUAUUAAAAAAUAUUGCUCCAGUUCAUGUGAUGAUCCCAUACUACAAAAAUGUUAAUUCCCUCCAUCUCUCUGAUGUCCUUCUGGAUUUUAUGACUCCUAUCAUCAUCAUUACCUAUGGGCUGGUCCUUCCUUCUUUUAUGAGGCAUGUCAGAAGAGGUGCUCUCCUCAAACUGUCCGUUGUUUCUCUUGGUGGGUACCAAAAUCAUUGCAGUAUCCACUCUUCCUUCUGAUGAGGAAUCCCAAGUGAAGAAAUGAAGUGAUUUACCCAAGGCCAUACAGCAAAUCACGGGCAGCGCCAGGAAUAAAGCCAAGAUUACAGCCACAGAUCUUUUUCAUGAUACACUGCUUCCCACACUCGAGUCCUCUUUCGAUUUUCUGUCAGUUAGCUUCAGUCAUUAUUGGCCAAUGCUAACCCUUCAUUUCCCUUUACAAACACCUGAUGUGUAUAGUAGAUGCUUUCAGUAAGGUCUUUUACUCCUGCAUUAUCAUUUUAUUAUUGUUAAGGAUGACCAUAUAUACAGAAUGCAGUUGGUAUACAUGGAGCUUUGCAGACACCAGAGAAGAUAAGGACCCUGAUCUAAUGAUCUUAAAAUUCUCAUUUGUACAUAUUCAAUACAUUGGAUUGGCCUAAACCACAAAUAAGUCUAGAUUGAGACUUUUCUAAAGUUUGGGGGAUUUGAAUGUAGAGAUUUUAGAGAUCUUCAUGGCUGUUGCCAGUUAUUCUGGCCUGGAAUGUGGUUCUCUGAAGCCAGGACAGCUUCAUGAAUCUACCUUGACAGUGCUGCAGACACAUAUGGUUGACACUCUUUUUGGAUACAGAUCCCAGGCUAAACCUGACCCAUAAACAGUGCUGUGCAUGCUGUACUACUAACGGAAGCCUCCGUUAUAGCUCCACAGCCUCUGUCUGUUUCUGAAAUCAAGUCUGCUCUUAGUCAGAAGCAACAUGCUGUCAUGGUGAUAAAUGAGGAGCUCCCCUGUCUGAAAUGUUAAUAGCCCCCUGGAUUCCUGCAAAUUUAUACUCAUCUGCAGAGUGCCAAUUUCAGCAAGAGAAAAGCAGAGGUAUAUAAAAGCUUAAAUAUACAGUCGCUCUUUAGCCUCAAGCAUGACUAAUUAUGAUGGCUGAGAACAAUCAUUAAUAUAUUAAAUUGUCUGUCUGUAUAUC